UACGGAGGGGGCUAGCGUUGUUCGGAAUUACUGGGCGUAAAGCGCACGUAGGCGGAUUGGAAAGUUGGGGGUGAAAUCCCGGGGCUCAACCCCGGAACUGCCUUCAAAACUCCCAGUCUGGAGGUCGAGAGAGGUGAGUGGAAUUCCGAGUGUAGAGGUGAAAUUCGUAGAUAUUCGGAGGAACACCAGUGGCGAAGGCGGCUCACUGGCUCGAUACUGACGCUGAGGUGCGAAAGCGUGGGGAGUAAACAGG
rnacentral:rRNA from 1 species